CGCUCUGCUCGGGUGAUGUCUUUGUUCCAAGAUUGAUUAAACGACUCGUGUGUUUCUCUUCGUCCUGAGAAUUGCUGUGAAGCUAGAUAACAUGCUAACGCUGUGUUCUGAACAUAGUUUGACAAGUUUAGUCGACAUUUAAUAUGUAAUUUCGACGUUUUGGUGCGCACCCACUUGACUUUUUGGCUGCAUUUCAACCGAAAUGUGUCGUGUUUGAUCACCGAAAGACACAGACUUCCAAACUAAAGCUGUUUUUGAAAUACCAUCCAGUUUACACCAACUCAGAUUGAGGCCAUCCAUGCUGGGAUGCAGCCUGAACCCACUAUGGUAAACUAUGGAUGGAUGUGGUAUAUGGUGUGUUCUGGUAUGGGCGUGUGCACGACGUACUGGCCAGGAGGCUGGAGCUGCUCAGAGACGUGGGCAGUCUGCAAGAGAGUCUGGACCUACACCUGUGAGACCGACAGACACUUCUACCUCUACCAGGUGAUGUCUCACUGGGAAGAGUACAUUUCCAAGGUCAGGUCUAAGCAGGGUGAAGGCCGAAGCCAUGGCCACACACUUCCCCUUCCACAAGUACUUCUCCAACGCCCCCCCAGCCUGUGUUCCACGGUCGCUCCUAUGAUGAGGACAUGGACUUCGUUGAGGGUUGCUACCAACAACCCACAUCAAGAAGAGAUUUACCCAGCUGGAGGCAGGCCACACACACACACACACACACACACACACACACACACACAUACACACACACACACAUCACAUCACAUGUUUACCUAGCUAAAGGGACAUACACCAUGAAGAUCCUCACUCUGUCAGAGAUAAACAUGUCACAAACAAACAGGCUCUUGAACAAACACACACAUACCAUAUUCAUCCCAGUCAGAGGUUAAUUAUGUCACACACACACCAUGUCAGCAGUUCCGAUGUUGCUCACGGGUCGUUAGCCAUCUUUGUGUGUGUGGUGAAGUGGGAGUUGGAACGCUGAACACACGUGAUUCUCUUUCCACAACUGAUGCCAUGACAGGUCUGCCCAGGCUCUCUCUCCCACUCCUACCGGAGAAGUAGCCACUGUGACAUCGCACUGCAUCACAUUUCAACAGUUUGUUUUGUGUUUCUGUUGUGAUAUUAGGAGUUUGUAAUAUGAUGGGGAUAUAGUGAGUUUCUUCCUUUUCAUUCUUUUCCACCCUCUUUGUUAAAUCUCUCUUUCACACACUCACUCACUCACUCACUCAUUCCCUCUGUUUGAGUGUGUUCUGUGAGACAUUGGUUGGAAUUACAUGGUGAUUUGGUGACAUGUCACCCUGUGCCCCCUCCCCUCCUCCCCUGACCCCAUUGGCAGUGACACAGGACCUGCUGUCUGUCUCCCCAGAUGCGGAUGGAAGGUUAUAGGGCCUUUCACUCACCCUGCACUCCCUACACAUACAUACCCUACACAUAAUUUACCGGACAUUUGAGAAAUUUACCGGACCCAUAUGCAUUGGGUAUGUAACCUGAUCUGGGUGUCCACCCACCGAGCUCAGAAUGACAGAAAUCACAUUUAGAUUAUGCUAAUUCAUAUUAAAAGAACAUGUGCGGCUGGCUUCCGGGUUGGAUUGCGCGCUGUGUUAAGAAGCAGUGCGGCUUGGUUGGGUUGUGUAACGGAGGGCGCGUUGACUUUCAACCUUCGUCUUUCCCGAGCCCGUACGGGAGUUGUAGAGAUGAGACAAGAUAGUAGCUACUAAAAACAAUUGGAUACCACGAAAAAGGGGUAAAAAAAAACACAAAUAAAACACUUUUAAAAAGGUGGGCGGGUGUUAAGGAGCGCGGUUUGGCGGGUCAUGUUUUGGAGAACGCAUGACUCGACCUUCGCCUUGAUGGGUACUGAGUUCUUAACUUGAAAUAUGAAAUAUGCUUAUUCAUCAUAUCAGAACUGAGGGUAUUGAAAUCUACUGAGUGAGAAAGUUUACAUUCUGUCAGAACAUGUUAUUGUUAGAUAUCAGCUAUUCUAUGGAGAGGAGAAGGGCGACAGUCUGGUUCAAGUCAAUAGGACAGCCGUGAGUUGGGGAGGUGUAAGAUAAAGUGAGAAAGAACAGGCAUCACAAAAGUCCUGUCUAGAACAGAGAUGUAUUGGCUGUCCAGAUGUGUAAGGAGGAGACUCAGCAUUAGGAGGAAGGUAUAAAUAUAUGUGCUUGUGUAAUUAUGUCUUUGUCUUUGCAGCUGUUUGACCCAGUGGGUGAAUAAACUUGGUUGGAGCAUUUCGUAGUCGUCCGUUCAUUUUUUACUCUCUUUAUAAAGAACCUGACAGCCUCUCCCAGGCCCGUUGAGGAGUUGCAGUGAUGAGACAAGAUCGUAAAUGGAUAUGACGAAAUUCGGGAGAAAAAAG
ensembl:lncRNA